rnacentral:rRNA from 1 species
UGGGGAAUUUUGGACAAUGGGCGCAAGCCUGAUCCAGCCAUGCCGCGUGAGUGAAGAAGGCCUUCGGGUUGUAAAGCUCUUUCAGACGGAAAGAAAUCUCUCAGGAUAAUACCUUGGGAGGAUGACGGUACCGUAAGAAGAAGCACCGGCUAACUACGUGCCAGCAGCCGCGGUAAUACGUAGGGUGCGAGCGUUAAUCGGAAUUACUGGGCGUAAAGCGUGCGCAGGCGGUUUAGUAAGACAGGCGUGAAAUCCCCGGGCUCAACCUGGGAACUGCGCUUGUGACUGCUAAGCUAGAGUACGGCAGAGGGGGAUGGAAUUCCGCGUGUAGCAGUGAAAUGCGUAGAUAUGCGGAGGAACACCGAUGGCGAAGGCAAUCCCCUGGACCUGUACUGACGCUCAUGCACGAAAGCGUGGGGAGCAAACA